rnacentral:rRNA from 1 species
GAUGAACGCUGGCGGCGUGCCUAAUACAUGCAAGUCGAGCGAACAGACGAGGAGCUUGCUCCUCUGACGUUAGCGGCGGACGGGUGAGUAACACGUGGAUAACCUACCUAUAAGACUGGGAUAACUUCGGGAAACCGGAGCUAAUACCGGAUAAUAUAUUGAACCGCAUGGUUCAAUAGUGAAAGACGGUUUUGCUGUCACUUAUAGAUGGAUCCGCGCCGCAUUAGCUAGUUGGCAAGGUAACGGCUUACCAAGGCAACGAUGCGUAGCCGACCUGAGAGGGUGAUCGGCCACACUGGAACUGAGACACGGUCCAGACUCCUACGGGAGGCAGCAGUAGGGAAUCUUCCGCAAUGGGCGAAAGCCUGACGGAGCAACGCCGCGUGAGUGAUGAAGGUCUUCGGAUCGUAAAGCUCUGUUAUUAGGGAAGAACAAAUGUGUAAGUAACUAUGCACGUCUUGACGGUACCUAAUCAGAAAGCCACGGCUAACUACGUG